UCCCAAAUGGUCAAGCAGUUAGGAUUCCUGAUUUUCACACAGGUGGCCCGGGUUCAACUCCCGGUAUGGGAA
rnacentral:tRNA from 1 species